rnacentral:rRNA from 1 species
UACGGAGGAUGCGAGCGUUAUCCGGAUUUAUUGGGUUUAAAGGGUGCGCAGGCGGGCAGUUAAGUCAGCGGUAAAAGCCCGGGGCUCAACCCCGGCGAGCCGUUGAAACUGGUUGUCUUGAGUUGGAGAGAAGUAUGCGGAAUGCGCGGUGUAGCGGUGAAAUGCAUAGAUAUCGCGCAGAACUCCGAUUGCGAAGGCAGCAUACCGGCUCCAUACUGACGCUGAGGCACGAAAGUGCGGGGAUCGAACAG